GAUGAACGCUGGCGGCGUGCCUAAUACAUGCAAGUCGAGCGAACAGAUAAGGAGCUAGCUCCUUUGACGUUAGCGGCGGACGGGUGAGUAACACGUGGGUAACCUACCUAUAAGACUGGAAUAACUCCGGGAAACCGGGGCUAAUGCCGGAUAACAUUUAGAACCGCAUGGUUCUAAAGUGAAAGAUGGUUUUGCUAUCACUUAUAGAUGGACCCGCGCCGUAUUAGCUAGUUGGUAAGGUAACGGCUUACCAAGGCAACGAUACGUAGCCGACCUGAGAGGGUGAUCGGCCACACUGGAACUGAGACACGGUCCAGACUCCUACGGGAGGCAGCAGUAGGGAAUCUUCCGCAAUGGGCGAAAGCCUGACGGAGCAACGCCGCGUGAGUGAUGAAGGUCUUCGGAUCGUAAAACUCUGUUAUUAGGGAAGAACAAAUGUGUAAGUAACUGUGCACGUCUUGACGGUACCUAAUCAGAAAGCCACGGCUAACUACGUG
rnacentral:rRNA from 1 species